rnacentral:rRNA from 1 species
CCUACGGGAGGCAGCAGUGGGGAAUAUUGGACAAUGGGCGAAAGCCUGAUCCAGCCAUGCCGCGUGUGUGAAGAAGGCCUUCGGGUUGUAAAGCACUUUCAGUGGGGAAGAAAGCCUUGGGGCUAAUACCCUCGAGGAAGGACAUCACCCACAGAAGAAGCACCGGCUAACUCCGUGCCAGCAGCCGCGGUAAUACGGAGGGUGCGAGCGUUAAUCGGAAUUACUGGGCGUAAAGCGCGCGUAGGCGGUCUGAUAAGCCGGUUGUGAAAGCCCCGGGCUCAACCUGGGAACGGCAUCCGGAACUGUCAGGCUAGAGUGCAGGAGAGGAAGGUAGAAUUCCCGGUGUAGCGGUGACAUGCGUAGAGAUCGGGAGGAAUACCAGUGGCGAAGGCGGCCUUCUGGACUGACACUGACGCUGAGGUGCGAAAGCGUGGGUAGCAAACAGGAUUAGAUACCCCGGUAGUC